AUUGAACGCUGGCGGCAUGCUUUACACAUGCAAGCCGAACGGUAACAGGCCUUCGGGUGCUGACGAGUGGCGAACGGGUGAGUAAUGCAUCGGAACGUACCCAGAGGUGGGGGAUAACGCAGCGAAAGCUGUGCUAAUACCGCAUGUGAUCUGAGGAUGAAAGCGGGGGACCGAGCAGCAAUGUUUGGCCUCGCGCCUUUGGAGCGGCCGAUGUCGGAUUAGCUAGUUGGUGGGGUAAAGGCCUACCAAGGCGACGAUCCGUAGCUGGUCUGAGAGGACGAACAGCCACACUGGGACUGAGGCACGGCCCAGACUCCUACGGGAGGCAGCAGUGGGGAAUUUUGGACAAUGGGCGCAAGCCUGAUCCGGCAAUGCCGCGUGCGGGAAGAAGGCCUUCGGGUUGUAAACCGCUUUUGGCAGGAACGAAACGGUGUCCGCUAAUACCGGGCGCUAAUGACGGUACCUGCAGAAUAAGCACCGGCUAACUACGUG
rnacentral:rRNA from 1 species